GAGGGCGGAGCUGCGUUCUUCCCAGCACAGACAAGGAAAGCAUCGCCAGGGCGGAGCUGAGUUCUCCUCUGCACAGACUUCAGAGAUACAGCGAAGGCGGAGCAGUGUUCUCCUCAGCACAGACCCAGGCGGGCCGGGGGCACCGCGAGGGCGGAGCCGCGUUCUGCUCAGCACAGACCCGGGGGACACCGCUAAGGCAGAGCAGCCUUCUCCUCAGCACAGACCUUUGGGGCACUGCCUCGCUUUGGGACAACUCGGGACCGCAUAGACGGGAUCAUGGCACAAGUUGCAGUUUCCACCCUGCCAAUGGAAGAUGAGGAGUCCAUGGAAGAUGAGGAGUCCAUUGAAGAUGAGGAGUCUGUUGAAGAUGAUUCCGUGGAGAGCAGGAUGGUGGUAACAUUUCUCAUAUCAGCUCUCGAGUCCACGGAUCAUGGCACAAGUUGCAGUUUCCACCCUGCCCAUUGAAGAUGAGGAGUCUGUUGAAGAUGAGGAGUCCUUGGAGAGCAGGAUGGUGGUGACAUUCCUGUCAGCUCUCGCCUCCAUGGUCAGACCUUCUGUUCUCACAUUCUGUAGUUCGGUAGGACUGGGCGGUAGAUAAGGUUGAUUUGUUUUCGUAGAACUUACAAUUUUGUGAUUUUUAGUUCUAAUGAGUAGACCUUUUUCGUGAAUAGUAGUUACGAUCAAACACCUCUGACCAAAUGUGCAUGUGGAGUUUCUACACUGAUUUUCAGACAAUCUGGAUCCCAACUGGGUAUCCCACAAUUCCAUCCUGACACUCCCUGGAGUUAGUGCAGACCCCGCAGGAUGGGAGCUCAGUCCCAGGAGUCUACCCUCACUCCACAUGCCAAUUGCAAGUCUUGGGUUGUUACAUGUAGUUUUGACCAACCAGUUAGAAAACAGGGUUUCAUGACCCCCAUUGGUGGGUGGAAUCAUUUGCUCGGACAGCUUGCAGAACUCAGAAAAACAGAUUGUUUUCUUUUUUUCCUGAGAUACAGGGUCUCAGUCUGUUGCCAGGCUGGAAUGCAGUGGUGUGAUCAAAGCUCACUGUAGCAUGGGACUCCUGGGUUCAAGUGAUCCUCCCACCUCAGCCUCCCAAAUAGCUGAGAUUAUAGGCCUGUACCAGCAUAUCUGGCUAUGUUCUUUUACUUUUUGUAGAGAUGGGGUCUUGUUAUGUUGCCCAGGCUGGUCUCAAAUUUCUGGGCUCACGUGAUCCUCCCACCUCAACUUCACAAAAUGCUGGGAUUAUGGGCAUGAACCACUGCAUCUCACCAAUUUACUUUCUUUUACUGGUUCAUUUUAAAGGCUAAAUCUCAGAAACAGCCAGUGAAAGAGAUGUACAUGCUGGGCACAGUGGCUCAUGCCUGUAAUUUCAGCACUUUGGGAGACUGAGGCGGGAGCAUCGCUUAAGUGCUCAGGAGAUUAAGACCAGCCUGGGUAACAAGGUGGAAAUGUAUCUCUACAAAAAGAUUUUUCUAAAAAUUAGCCAGGCACAGUUAUCUAUAGUUCUAGCUACUCAGUGCCUAUAAUUCUAGCUACUCAGGAGGCUGAGGUGAGAGGAUGAGAGGAUGGGGCUUGAGAUAGGGAGGCAUAGUUCACAGUGAGCCACGAUUGUGCCAUGGCACUCUAGGCUGGGAGACAGAGCCAGACUCUGUCUCAAAAAAAAAAAA